UACGUAGGGUGCGAGCGUUGUCCGGAAUUACUGGGCGUAAAGAGCUCGUAGGUGGUUUGUCGCGUUGUUCGUGAAAACUCACAACUCAAUUGUGGGCGUGCGGGCGAUACGGGCAGACUGGAGUACUGCAGGGGAGACUGGAAUUCCUGGUGUAGCGGUGGAAUGCGCAGAGUAUCAGGAGGAACACCGGUGGCGAAGGCGGGUCUCGUGGGCAGUGAACUGACGCUGAGGAGCGAAAGCGUGGGGAGCGAACAGG
rnacentral:rRNA from 1 species